UGACUGGGGUGAAGUCGUAACAAGGUAACCGUAGGGGAACCUGCGGUUGGAUCACCUCCUUACCUGAAAG
rnacentral:rRNA from 1 species